rnacentral:misc_RNA from 1 species
UUUCCGUAGGUGAACCUGCGGAAGGAUCAUUCACAAUGAGUGUUUUAUGGCACUCUUUAAAAAUCCAUAUCCACCUUGAGUGCAAUGUUUGUUGGGAGAGAGGCAACUCUUUCCCUUCACAAAUAUCAACCUAUAUCUUUAACAACAUUCGUCUGGUAACAUAUUAUGAAUAUACUUAAUUCAAAAUAUAACUUUCAACAACGGAUCUCUUGGCUCUC